CUGCUGCCUUCCGUAGGAGUUUGGACCGUGUCUCAGUUCCAAUGUGGGGGACCUUCCUCUCAGAACCCCUACGCAUCGUCGGCUUGGUGGGCCGUUGCCCCACCAACUACCUAAUGCGCCGCAUGCCCAUCCAUGACCGGGGUCGCCCCCUUUGACCGGCAGGGGAUGUCCCCUCCCGGCAUUAUGUUGUAUUAGGCGGGAUUUCUCCCGGUUAUCCAUCUGUCACGGCCAGGUUGCAUACGUGUUACUCACCGUGCGCCGGUCGCCGG
rnacentral:rRNA from 1 species